rnacentral:rRNA from 1 species
CAGUGGGGAAUUUUCCGCAAUGGGCGCAAGCCUGACGGAGCAACGCCGCGUGAGGGAUGAAGGCCUCUGGGCUGUAAACCUCUUUUCUCAAGGAAGAAGAACUGACGGUACUUGAGGAAUAAGCCACGGCUAAUUCCGUGCCAGCAGCCGCGGUAAUACGGGAGUGGCAAGCGUUAUCCGGAAUUAUUGGGCGUAAAGCGUCCGCAGGCGGCUUUGUAAGUCUGUCGUUAAAGCGUGGAGCUUAACUCCAUUUCAGCGAUGGAAACUACAGGGCUUGAGUGUGGUAGGGGCAGAGGGAAUUCCCGGUGUAGCGGUGAAAUGCGUAGAUAUCGGGAAGAACACCAGUGGCGAAGGCGCUCUGCUGGGCCAUAACUGACGCUCAUGGACGAAAGCCAGGGGAGCGAAAGGGAUUAGAUACCCCAGUAGUC